rnacentral:rRNA from 1 species
UACGUAGGGUGCAAGCGUUGUCCGGAAUUAUUGGGCGUAAAAGAGCUCGUAGGCGGUUUGUUCGCGUCUGCUGUGAAAACUCGGGGCUUAACUCCGGGCCUGCAGUGGGUACGGGCAGACUAGAGUGCGGUAGGGGAGACUGGAAUUCCUGGUGUAGCGGUGAAAUGCGCAGAUAAUCAGGAGGAACACCGGUGGCGAAGGCGGGUCUCUGGGCCGUAACUGACGCUGAGGAGCGAAAGCGUGGGGAGCGAACAGG